ensembl:misc_RNA Y_RNA Y RNA
GGCUGGUCUGAAGGUAGUGAGUUAUCUCAAUUGAUUGGUCACAGUCAGUUACAGAUCAAAUUCCUCAUUCUACUCUUUCCCCACUUCUCACUACUGCACUUGACUCAUCUGAA